UACUGAAAAAGGGUACUGAAAAGUACGGUGAUAAGAAAGCAGUUCGAACGUCAUGUUUCCCCCUUUCUUUUCUUUUCUUUCUCUCUUUCUUUCUCUUUCUUUUAUA
rnacentral:ribozyme from 14 species